rnacentral:rRNA from 1 species
AGUGAACGCUGGCGGUAGGCCUAACACAUGCAAGUCGAACGGCAGCACAGGAGAGCUUGCUCUCUGGGUGGCGAGUGGCGGACGGGUGAGGAAUACAUCGGAAUCUACUCUGCCGUGGGGGAUAACGUAGGGAAACUUACGCUAAUACCGCAUACGACCUACGGGUGAAAGCAGGGGAUCUUCGGACCUUGCGCGAUUGAAUGAGCCGAUGUCGGAUUAGCUAGUUGGCGGGGUAAAGGCCCACCAAGGCGACGAUCCGUAGCUGGUCUGAGAGGAUAAUCAGCAACACGGGAACUGGGACACGGGCCAGACUCCUACGGGAGGCAGCAGUGGGGAAUAUUGGACAAUGGGCGCAAGCCUGAUCCAGCCAUACCGCGUGGGUGAAGAAGGCCUUCGGGUUGUAAAGCCCUUUUGUUGGGAAAGAAAUCCAGCUGGCUAAUACCCGGUUGGGAUGACGGUACCCAAAGAAUAAGCACCGGCUAACUUCGUGCCAGCAGCCGCCGUAA